rnacentral:rRNA from 1 species
AUUGAACGCUGGCGGCAUGCCUUACACAUGCAAGUCGAACGGCAGCACGGGUGCUUGCACCUGGUGGCGAGUGGCGAACGGGUGAGUAAUACAUCGGAACAUGUCCUGUAGUGGGGGAUAGCCCGGCGAAAGCCGGAUUAAUACCGCAUACGAUCUACGGAUGAAAGCGGGGGACCUUCGGGCCUCGCGCUAUAGGGUUGGCCGAUGGCUGAUUAGCUAGUUGGUGGGGUAAAGGCCUACCAAGGCGACGAUCAGUAGAUGGUCUGAGAGGACGACCUGCCACACUGGGACUGAGAAACGGCCCAGACUCCUACGGGAGGCAGCAGUGGGGAAUUUUGGACAAUGGGCGAAAGCCUGAUCCAGCAAUGCCGCGUGUGUGAAGAAGGCCUUCGGGUUGUAAAGCACUUUUGUCCGGAAAGAAAUCCUUGGCUCUAAUACAGUCGGGGGAUGACGGUACCGGAAGAAUAAGCACCGGCUAACUACGUG